rnacentral:rRNA from 1 species
AGUGAACGCUGGCGGCGUGCCUAAUACAUGCAAGUCGAACGGAGUGGCGCACGGGUGAGUAAUAUAUAGCUAAUCUGCCCCUUUCUGGAGGAAAACAGUUAGAAAUGACUGCUAAUAAUCCAUAGCAAGGGAUGAGACUAUAUCGUAUAAGCUAGUCGGUGGGGUAACGGCCUACCGAGGCUAUGACGCGUAACUGGUCUGAGAGGAUGAUCAGGCACAUUGGAACUGAGACACGGUCCAAACGCCUACCGGAAGCAGCAGUAGGGAAUAUCGCGCAAUGGGGGAAACCCUGACGCAGCAACGCGGCGUGGAGGAUGACACUUUUCGUAGCGUAAACUCCGGUUGUUAGGGAAGCGGUACCUAACGAAUAAGCACCGGCUAACUCCGUGCCAGCCGCCGCGGUAAUUC